AUAUAGGUCUUUCUCAAGUGCAUCUCUGGAGAAAUAAUAGGAGAUGCACUUGAGAAAGACCUAUAU
rnacentral:miRNA from 1 species